UAUACAUAUAUAUAAUAAUUGUCGAAUUAACAUGGUAGUUCUUUUCAUUUUUAAAACGUUUCCCCUCCCCCCCCAUAUUUCAACAGAGAAAACGUUAGAUCAAUUUUAGAAAUGUCAUUAUCAAUACGAUUGUUAGCAAAAUUAAACGGAUAUUUCUUAGGAUAUCAAAGAAUGUAUUUGAUUACCGGGGAUGCUUUUUAAAACGAAAAGAACUUGCGAUGUGUAUCAUUAAAUACUCGCUAAAAUUAAAUUUGGUUGUAUCUUUCAGGCUUGUUAUUCUCGAUACGUUAGAAUGCAGAUAUGACACGGCAUUUCUCUGACGAAAGAAGUAACUUUUCUUUGUAUCUAACGCUAUAUGAAUAUCAUAUAAUUCGCUUUAUUAAUUCCUUCUUGUAAAACGAAUUAAUACUCUCACUUCCUUAUCAUCGUUAUCGCGCAAGACAUGACAAUGUACGCACUGAUUACUUUAUCGUCCAACUUCAUUAAGAUUAACGUGUAAUUUUUUAAUGUGCCUUUUUAUAGCUUCAUUGGGAAAUAAAAUGCGAUACGUAUCAAGCGUAGUUGGUGCCAGCAAAAUGAUCGUAGUAUUCGACGAAAAUAACAACAACAACAACAUACACGCUCGUAAAAUGAGAAAGUGAAGAUCUACUCUCCCGAUUUUUUCCAUCCAUUACGAGUUAAUCGCCUGCAGACAAUCGAACCAGUUGCGCCUGAGAGCAUUUCACGUGAACAAUUUGCCAGGAAUAUGCGACGUCGACGCGUGAUAAUAGCCAGUCGUCGCAAAGUUUUGUGUUCGCGGGAUUAGUUCGCGUUAAAUACCAAUCGAGGAUACGCGCGAGUACGUUUGGCGCGUGGCAGUACACGCUGCAGUUUCUAUUUUCUACUGUAUCGAUUUGCACACUGCUGUAGAGGAACUUAAAAGCGACGUGCACGUCCUAGUUGCGUCUAUUGUAAAUCAAAGUAAACAAGCUCGCCUGAAAAACAAUUCUCUCGCGCGAGUCUCGAACAAUAGAAUUCACCGGAAUAUCUGCGAAGGAAAGUGCGUUUCCAUUUUUUUUUCUUGCACUUUCCGAAGAAUGGAAACUAAACUAAUGACGUAAUCGUUGCGACGCGAUAAUAUCUGCAUACUUCGGCUUCCUAUAUAAUCAAUCGCUUAUCAACUUAUCGUUUUUCGAAUGAGAUGACGAGGCUGUUCUUGCUUUCUCCAUGCGACGACUCUAUCGAUGAAUAACCAACUCUGACACGCGCUAAUCGCGUUAGUGCAAUAUGGACAUCACGGAGAAAAGAGUUCAAUCUGCGAACCGUGUAAUUUUAAUUACACCGAUGUGUACUGCGCCUCUAACAAACAAUCGUUGAAGAAGCGACGCAAUUAUGUGAAAUUUUAAACUUUUGUGCGGAGUUUUUCCGUUUUGUACUUUUAACUAUCUUCUAUAAAUCUAACAAAUCUAUGAGCUCUA